rnacentral:rRNA from 2 species
UUAGGUCGGGAACUCAAAGGAGACUGCCAGUGAUAAACUGGAGGAAGGUGGGGAUGACGUCAAGUCAUCAUGGCCCUUACGACCAGGGCUACACACGUGCUACAAUGGCGUAUACAAAGAGAAGCGACCUCGCGAGAGCAAGCGGACCUCAUAAAGUGCGUCGUAGUCCGGAUUGGAGUCUGCAACUCGACUCCAUGAAGUCGGAAUCGCUAGUAAUCGUGGAUCAGAAUGCCACGGUGAAUACGUUCCCGGGCCUUGUACACACCGCCCGUCACACCAUGGGAGUGGGUUGCAAAAGAAGUAGGUAGCUUAACCUUCGGGAGGGCGCUUACCACUUUGUGAUUCAUGACUGGGGUGAAGUCGUAACAAGGUAACCGUAGGGGAACCUGCGGUUGGAUCACCUCCUUACCUGAAAGAAGC